UUUUUUCCCUAAGUCUAAUAAAAGUAAAGGUGGUCUGAAAUCAGAUUCCAGAUGGAGUACUGAGGAUGGCAGAAGAGAGAGAUGGGGAGGGCCCCUGUCAAAAAACGGCACUGAGCUGAUGGAAGAACUGCCCUACUACCUGCCUUGUUAUGUGACCGUGGGAAUUUUCUACUGUUUAAGCAGUUUGGGGGCGGGGCUUCAGGUCCCUGCAAUGGACAACUCCCUGGUGAGGAGACUGGCGUCAAUAACAGCAGCAGUGCUGGUGGCACAUGUUUAUUUGGAGUCUACAGGGGGCACGACUGGUUUCCGUUCUACAUAAAGACUAUGUGGAGACUGGCAGUGAAGGCAACAAACAGAUUCCUCAGAACUCAGAAAGCAAACACUGAAGUGCUUGCCAUCACACACUGAGCCCUGGAACGAAUGGUCCCCUCCAAGGCGAAUGGGAUACGCACCACGUC